GAUAAACGCUAGCGGCAGGCUUAACACAUGCAAGUCGAGGGGCAGCAUAGAUUGUAGCAAUACAAUUGGUGGCGACCGGCGCACGGGUGCGUAACGCGUAUGCAACCUACCCGUCACAGGGGGAUAAUCCGGAGAAAUCUGGUCUAAUACCCCAUAACAUAUGGAUCGGCAUCGGUUCAUGUUGAAAUUUUCGGAGGUGACGGAUGGGCAUGCGUAGCAGUAGCUUGUUGGUGAGGUAACGGCUCAGCAAGGCGACGAUGCUUAGGGGGACUGAGAGGUUUUCCCCCCACACUGGUACUGAGACACGGACCAGACUCCUACGGGAGGCAGCAGUGAGGAAUAUUGGUCAAUGGGCGCAAGCCUGAACCAGCCAUGCCGCGUGCAGGUUGACGGCUCUAUGAGUUGUAAACUGCUUUUGUACGAGGGUAAAGUGGGUUACGUGUAACCUUUUGGAAGUAUCGUACGAAUAAGGAUCGGCUAACUCCGUGCCAGCCGCCGCCGUAA
rnacentral:rRNA from 1 species